rnacentral:rRNA from 1 species
UAGGGAAUAUUGGUUAAUGGGCGAAAGCCUGAACCAGCAACGCCGCGUGCGCGAUGAAGGCCUUCGGGUUGUAAAGCGCUUUUUGAGGGGAAGAGGAAGGACGGUACCCUCAGAAUAAGUCUCGGCUAACUACGUGCCAGAAGCCGCGGCAACACGUAGGAGACGAGCGUUAUCCGGAUUUACUGGGCGUAAAGCGCGUGCAGGCGGUCUAGCAAGAUGGAUGUGAAAGCUCCCGGCUUACCUGGGAGA